rnacentral:rRNA from 1 species
CGUGUAGGCGGCCUAUUAAGUCAGGUGUGAAAGCCCUUAGCUCAACUAAGGAAUGUCAUCUGAAACUACUAGGCUUGAGUACGGGAGAGGAGAGUGGAAUUCCCGGUGUAGAGGUGAAAUUCGUAGAUAUCGGGAGGAACACCCGUGGCGAAGGCGACUCUCUGGACCGAUACUGACGCUGAGACGCGAAAGCGUGGGGAGCAAACA